AUCCUCUGUUCGAAAGGGAGAGGCGGUUAGUGUAGCGGAUGCUGGGUAAUGCUCUCCCACUUCUGGGUGUGCUAAGAAGAAGGCGAGAGAAAGAAAAACGGAAGAAGGUGUACUUAUGAUUUGUGAUACCCUUUUGGAUGACAAGGAAUGAGAUCCCAAAGCUGACUGCUAGGGGAUUAUGGGACAACAAGACACACAGGUUUGAAAGAGUUCCUGUAUCAUACUGCUACUCGGAGAAUCAAAAACAAUUACAUCAUCAGAGAUUAGAAAAUAUUAGAAGAUUGAUUGUUCUCUCAACAGAUCAAUCACUCCUUAGAAGAUGAAUAUGUUGAAGCACAAAGAAAAUAAAAAUAUAAAAUUUUUCUGUUUUCUAUCUUUACAAGUUUGUUAAAUAAGGUGUUUUUCUCAAAUUGAAGAUAAAAUCAAAGGUAGAAGGCUUUAAAACAAAUGGCAAAAUAGGACAGAAAAGUUAAAUGAAAAUAUUUAAAAUUUCCCAAUGCAUUAAGAAUUCAAUUACUGGGGU